GGGGAGUCCAUGGACAGAGGGGAAGCAGACAGAGAGGCGAUCCAAUUAGACCUGCAGACAACCCUUCGCCCACACAGCAGACACACGGUUUUUUGAGGUGACACAGAUUCCUUAAAGAGUCAGUUCCAGUCUGCCACCAUGCUGCACCCUUUAAUCAUCGGCAUUGUGACCGUAAACACCUCCCUGACCGUCGUUUAUUGGACCUUCCUCCUGAGCGAUGCCUACUUCAAGUGGCUGAUGGAGCCAGAAGACAAACCCAAGAAGGUGGUCACUCCAGCCUGAGGGAGCCACAGGCUGCUCGCAGUCAGCAUGGACUGACCGAAUGACUGGGUGUUACUGUUUUUAUUUUGCUUAAAACUAGUCUGCAAGCACAGUUCAGCUUGUAGUGCUUUCUGUGGAGACGUUGCUACUGAUCUGCUUUCUGUUUCACCCGGAGAAGACUUGGAAGCCCUCUUUUGUUAACUUUUUUAUUGAACUGAAUGGAUCCUGUGAAAGGAGUCAUUCUUACAGAGCCGUCUGUGUAUGACACAACCAUUUGGAAGCCCAAGUCAAAGAAAAAAUCUGAGGAGCCGUUUCCAGUUUUGAUUACAAGACUGGAUUCUUGGCCCCAAACCAAUGGAGGAUGAUUCAGAGGAGGGGAGAGCGGAAAUAGAGGAACUGAGCGUUUCCAGUAAGAUGAUGGAGAAAGACAAGCUGAGGGUGGAGAAGGAAAAGGACGGCCUGCUGCCUGGUUCCCACUGGGGAGACGCGGCCUGCCGCCAUCCAUCCUCCCCUGCUCCUCUGAGAAGCGCCGUCGCUUCAUCGUACCCUGGAGAAAAAAGGAAAUCUACUCAUGGCGUGACCUUCGCCUGCCCCGUGACCCCUUAUGUCACUUCCCUUUGAGUUUUGUCACAUACCUCAUGUCAGUGCAGUGAUCAGUGUUGUCUCUUUGCUGUAGCGAUGAUGUAGGAGCUAAGGCAUCUCUGUUUUGUAUAAAAGACACUCAUAGUUUGUACUCAUUAAUGCUUACUUUGAUUACUCAUUAAACAUGUAUGCGAACCUG